GUUUGAUCCUGGCUCAGAGCGAACGUUAGCGGCGCGCCUAACACAUGCAAGUCGCACGAGAAAGGGCCUCGGCCCCGAUACAGUGGCGCACGGGUGAGUAACACGUGGGGGACCUUCCCCGGAGUGGUGGAUAACCUGCCGAAAGGCGGGCUAAGACAGCAUACGAGGCGGGGGCUACGGCCUUCGUCUGAAAGCAGGCCUCUCUUCAGAAGCUUGCGCUCCGGGAUGGCCCCGCGUCCCAUCAGCUAGUUGGUGAGGUAACGGCUCACCAAGGCGACGACGGGUAGCUGGUCUGAGAGGAUGGCCAGCCACACUGGAACUGAGACACGGUCCAGACUCCUACGGGAGGCAGCAGUGGGGAAUCUUGCGCAGUGGGCGAAAGCCUGACGCAGCGACGCCGCGUGGGCGACGAAGGCCUUCGGGCUGUAAAGCCCUGUGGGGCGGGACGAAUAAGGGCUGGGCGAACAGGCCAGCCCCCUGACGGUACCGCCUUAGCAAGCACCGGCUAACUCUGUGCCAGCAGCCGCGGUAAGACAGGGGGUGCGAACGUUGCUCGGAAUUACUGGGCGUAAAGCGCGUGCAGGUGGCUCUCCACGUCCGGUGUGAAAGCCCGGGGCUCAACCCCGGAAGCGCGCUGGAUACGAGGGAGCUUGAGGGCUGGAGAGGCAGGCGGAAUUCCCGGUGUAGAGGUGAAAUUCGUAGAUAUCGGGAGGAACACCGGUGGCGAAGGCGGCCUGCUGGACAGCACCUGACACUGAGACGCGAAAGCGUGGGUAGCAAACAGGAUUAGAUACCCUGGUAGUCCACGCCGUAAACGAUGCGCACU
rnacentral:rRNA from 1 species